GAGCACGGAAGCUGAAAGCAUACGAAAAAA
rnacentral:piRNA from 1 species